rnacentral:misc_RNA from 1 species
UUGGUUUGAUACGGGUGGUCGGCUCCCUGCUUGAGCAGGCACGGCCACGCGUGCAUUCCUUUUCAGAUGUGCGGCAAGGCUUGUAUGGUCUUGAUCGUAUAAGUGGGUUUCCUGUGUUGAAUACCUGAUCAACGGCAUCGUUUCGAUCAAAAGCGUACCUUUUUYGUCUAGUGUUGCACCCGCACCAUUGGAUGAACCGUGUAGCAUUCUCUUUGAUCCAUACAAUUGACAUUCRUUGUUAGUUGUUUGGCCCAUUGAGCGUGUCUUGGUCCCUUGAAUAUGGAAGCCAAAGUGGGCACGGGAUCGCAAGAUCYGUUUAGUGCCCUAAUUGAGCGUUUUCGCUUCUCUUACACGACUGCCUCUCACGUAUGGCACGUCCCAGCGUGUUUGGCUAUGUCGAAGAGGAAUGU